rnacentral:rRNA from 1 species
GUGAGGAAUAUUGCGCAAUGGAGGCAACUCUGACGCAGCCAUGCCGCGUGCAGGAAGAAGGCCUUCGGGUUGUAAACUGCUUUUGUACGGAACGAAACGGUCCGGGUUAAUACCCUGGGCUAAUGACGGUACCGUAAGAAUAAGCACCGGCUAACUACGUGCCAGCAGCCGCGGUAAUACGUAGGGUGCAAGCGUUAAUCGGAAUUACUGGGCGUAAAGCGUGCGCAGGCGGUUUUGUAAGACAGGCGUGAAAUCCCCGGGCUCAACCUGGGAAUUGCGCUUGUGACUGCAAGGCUGGAGUGCGGCAGAGGGGGAUGGAAUUCCGCGUGUAGCAGUGAAAUGCGUAGAUAUGCGGAGGAACACCGAUGGCGAAGGCAAUCCCCUGGGCCUGCACUGACGCUCAUGCACGAAAGCGUGGGGAGCAAACAGGAUUAGAUACCCUGGUAGUCC